rnacentral:lncRNA from 1 species
CGAAUCCAGCGGCGAGAAUCUGGGCGGAGCUCAGCUCAAGUUCUUCAAUUUGUUUCUUAAGCCCCUCGUUCUGCUGCUUCAGCUCUUCAGCUUGUUUCUUGAGUUCUUCAAUUGUUUCCCGAGCUUGAAGAAGGUCUUCAGUAACCUUCUUGGAUUCCGCCUGCGCCUGGGCCAGCUGUGUGGUGAUCUUCCCAUUUUCCUCUUUGGCCUCGGCGAGUUUGGCCAUGGUGUCGUCUCUCUCCUUUUC